GUGGAUUAGAUACCCUGGUAGUCCACGCUGUAAACGAUGAGUACUAAGUGUUGGCCCUAAGGGUCAGUGCUGCAGCUAACGCAUUAAGUACUCCGCCUGAGUAGUACGUACGCAAGUAUGAAACUCAAAGGAAUUGACGGGACCCCGCACAAGCGGUGGAUCAUGUUCUUUAAUUCGUCGAUACGCGAAAAACCUUACCAGGUCUUGACAUACUCUGCAAUGGCUUAGAAAUAAGUUCGGAGGUUAACAGAUGUACAGGUGGUGCACGGCCGUCGCCAACU
rnacentral:rRNA from 1 species